GCCCAUAAAUUACGUCACGCUUUGAGAGAAAGAAGAGAAUCAGCAAAUUGUGACGAGUCAUGAAAAGUUUUAGAAGCCCCAUACGAAAAGUGUGACAUUCCGGGAAGGAAAUGGACCAGUUGCGUGACAUAAUAUGAUAACGUUCUUAAUUGGAUUUUGCAUAUCUGAGAUUGGUAUUCUAGCUAUUUUGUCCUUCUCGGAAAAUGACCAACCAGCUGAUCGCAUUUUCACAAUGUUUUAACAAUUAUUAUUAACCCACACACACAUAUUUACAAUAGUCUGAAUCAUUUUACCAGAAUGCCUCCUUUUGCCUCCUGCAGCGUUUGCUUUAACCCAGCCAAUGAUAUUUGUCGAUUAACCUCACAGUGGUGUUUCCGGAUAUGUACAUAAUCGAUGCACCUGAAAAAGUUAUUAACCGCAAGUGUGCUACAAUGCAAAUUGAUUUCAAUGAACUGCUAAUUGCUCCGGCACCGGAGAGCUUAAUGUAAAAAUAUAAUACUUUCAUGGUUUACCAAUUAUAUUCGUUAAAACAAUGCAUCCUUUUCUGGUUUCUCUCCCUUGCUUGCAGAUUAUUCACCGCAGAAUGCUAACAAGUGCCUGAUUGCCAUUGUCCCGGCCCAAUCACGUGCACCGGAAGAGCCUCUCCUCUGACGUGGUGAGCCCCAACUGAAUUGAAUAUCAAUUGACAGACAUGAAAAUUCAUUAAUCAUUGCCGCAAAACCACAGUUAAUCCAGUGCUGGAUUAUCAUCGUUUGGCCAACUGGUGCUACCGUUUACCGCAAAGCGAACACUCCUGAUCUCACGCAGCUUUCGCCAUUAUUAAGAAGGAUUUUUCUCGCAUCAGCAUUAACCCAGGAAGGAGUGAAUUAAUUCCGUCUCUCACUAGAAAGAUGAGUUGAGCCCGUUCGAGCCUCAGUGCAGAAUCAAAUCGUGUGCCGUCAAAUAUAUAGGGAAGGUAUUUGCUGAAAUGAGUAGCUUACCGGCAUUCAAACGAAGCAGCAGCAGCGGUGGCAACAAGAAGUGGUGCCGCGUUCAGAGUGGCAUGAUAAAGCAAACCGUGGAGUUAACGAUAAAUUGCCGGAACGAAAACGUUUACCGAUAGAAACAGGAGUGCGAUAUUCCUGGUCAGAGCUUGUGUUCGGUUCGGCUGUUGCGAAUAGUCGUCGGCUGCGUCUGGCACUGGCAUUUGAUUGUGGUUUCCCUUCCGGAUAACCGGAGCAAAUCAUCCGUGGCUAAAGGCGACAAACACGCCAAUUGAAAGUGAGGAUUGAAGUGUGGACUUUGGGAGGCGGAACGACGCAGGUUUGUGUAUUUGGAAGGGAAAACAUGUUAUGCCAUUAUCACCUGCUCGUAUGUUUGUCCUGUUUUGUGGCUAAUUGCUGGAGUUCAACGUCGGAGUACCUAAUCAUUCGCCAUGGCAGGUCACGGGUUCGUCAUUCGAGCGAGAAGGAUCACAUCCGGUGGGGUCUGCAGGUGUUCGAUAACUUUACCCUACUGGACUAUGAUACGGUCGAUGAUUCAAACGAAACGAGCAGCACGGGCGAAUUGAGGUCCCUCGUCAAAAAGGCCGGAAAGGGGAGGAUAGGGGUGGAUCAAUUUUCGGAUAAUAGCAAUAAUUCCGAUACGCUCACGAUACAGUUCAGUGAAUCGGAAGAAUUGGACCGAAUGAUUGAUAUCAGCGAUUUUGAUAGUAUAUCAAUCGAAUCUGGAGGUGGCAGCAGUGGGCGGCAGCAGGCAUCCUUCAACAGCUGGAGAAACAAUCGCACCCUUAACCUUCCCUUUUCUGUGGAUUCGAUCCAACGGUUCACUCCUAUCAUGCCAACGGCACAAGGGCAAAAGCUGGUCCCAAAAGGAGUUCCUCAGAAGAAAAAGCUUAUCAAAAAAGAGAUAAUGGAAAACAUACGAAAAACAGUUGAUAAAGGAUUGGAAUAUCUUAAAUCUCACAAGAAUUUAGACGAGGUAAAGAUAGAGCUGAAACCUUUUCGAGCACGUACAAAAGGUACCAAAAACGGCAAUGAAAGGUUGGCACAUUCUUCCAAUCCGGACACGUUAUUGCGAAAAGUUAUUCCCAGUCACGAGCGGUCUCCGCCGGCUGAACGGAAGAAAAACGAGUUGAAACACGUGAAUGGCAAUCGAAAAGAUUACACACAAGUGUCGUCACCUUUUUCAGUCUCCCUCGAAAGUGCGAUUGCUAGUGACGGAGACCAGCUUCAGAGUGCCGAAAGCGAAUUACAACACUCUAUCACUUACCUGAAGGAGAAAUAUUGGAAAAAUGUCAAAAUAAAUAACGACUACACUUUUUUCCGACCGUUGUCGACGGCAACUUUGGAGCGGAAGCAGAUUUUGACCGUAACUACUGCUUCGCCGGAGAAUAACGACUAUCCGAACGACUCACCGCUUCUGGCCAAUGGCGGCGACCAUCGUUAUCCGUUCGCUUCGUCAGAUACUGCUAAUGAAGCUACUAGUUGGACGGAUCAGGGUGAGAAAAAAUCUGGACCAAUUAACGGCAAAACGGACCGUGGAAACAAUGCGGAGGAAAAAUUUAAUUACGAACUACGAAAACAAUCGUUCGAUUCACUUUCCACGGAGACCUUUCAGAACGAUGGACCUGACGGUCCUGCUGACGACGAGGUUAUAAAUAUCCUUAACGAUACGCCGACAAUGAGUUUCGAGCCAAACGAAGCGGAUGCACCGUCUACAAUCAUAUUCAACGGUGCCAAUCUGGACGCAACCCCGGACUCGGACCCGUCGAACUCGGACGAUCCACUGAAUUGGGUUUCGGAUGCGGCGGAUUCACCCGAUGACGUUGGCACCAGUGACAACAAUGGCGAUGAAGCUGAUAUGAGCGAAAUUUUUCGCAUGGAGGACAUAGAUCUGAGCGAGCUGGAUGAAACCAGUAGGAACAAUAGGCGCAAUCUGAUGAAGGGCCGAGAUGUGGUGACGAAGUUUCUUCAAAUCGUCGAAAGUCAACAUCUGCUCGGGUCCAACUGUACGGCUGGCACGGCACUCAAUCUCGGAGAAGGGGUCGUCGACCGUUACGCACAGGACCGGUUUCGCGUCGAAGCGGAAAUCGCCGUGAACAGAGCCAACAUGCUGACGAGGAUCUUCAAGUUCUCGUCAUCCGAGGUCCAAGCGUCGGAACAUCUUCUCCACGCAUCCGUUCUGUCAAUGGUGGAGUUUGACGAUGACAUCUUCGCCGCCGGAAAUUGCUUCGACUGGAACCAGCACUCGGCGAAGAAGGGUUUAUUUUGCCCCUUCGCGUACCGCCUGCCACCGCCGGACCAGGGCGCCUCCCUCGCGAAGGAUCUGGCCGCCGAGUACCACUACUUGGGGAACACGUCGGAGUGGUUUUUUCUCGCCCGGAAGAACGCUGAAAAAGUCAUCGCACGGAACGAACAGUAUAUUAAGUCGUUCCACAUCUACACGAACAACUCGGUCCGCCAGUCGGACGAGAUCCUAUCGGUGAAGUACGAGGACGGCCGUUGGUCUAAGCCGUAUUACGAUUGCGGCGGCGGAAACAUUUGGAUGCUGACAUAUACGGUGCCUUUUUUCGGCUACGAGAACGGAACUUACUUUUUCAAGGGAACAUCCGGCAUAGAUAUUGAUUUACGGCGCGUGGAUAUUGAUCAAUGCCCGCAGAAAAGUUCUCCAUCUGGUGCUCCGCAGCCGCUGAACAUUUUCGCCGGGACGGACAAGUGCAAGCCGCGAACGACAGAGUGUGUUCCGAUUCCGGGGCUGGGCUUCCGUCGUGGAUCGUACCGGUGCGUGUGCCGAAAGGGAUACUACUUCCCCGACACCAGCAUCGAGCAGAAGUGGUUCAAUGGGACCACACUCGAGGAGGAGUACGAAAAAUUGAUGCAGAGCGAAUACAGCACCUACCACGAUGCAUCGUCUUAUCAGUGCCUGCCCUGUGCCGAGGGGUGCGAUUCCUGUCUGGACGCUUCUCCGUGCGUGGCUGCCCUCAACUGGACGAUGCGAACCGGAAUUCUGGUGCUGGCUUGCGCCGUAAUUGGGUUGCUUCCGCCGGCGGCAGUGUUCACUUUCCGCUACCAACAAGUUAAGGUGGUACGUGCUGCAAGUCCAGCUUUACUCCGAGUUAUUGCGCUCGGAGCAUUUUGUAUAUACUGUACGUCCAUCGUGAUGUAUCCACCUCCGUCGUUAUACACCUGCACUGCCCGGGUCUGGCUGCGAGAAAUUGGAUUCUCGCUCACGUAUGGUGCGCUGAUGCUGAAGACGUGGCGCAUAUCAGUCAUCUUUCGCGUGCGUUCGGCGAAAGCAGUGAAAAUCACCGAUGCAUACCUGCUGAAGCGGCUCGGGCUGUUGUGCGGUUUCGUCGGAAUCGCCUUGCUCGUUAGGACGCUCGUUGCACCGCCGGUCGUGAUAGUGGGCCGGACCGCAGACAACCUCAAAGCCUUUCUCUGCAAGACUGACUGGUGGGAUCACACGUUCACUUCCAUGGAAGUCCUGUUCCUGGCGUGGGGCGUUCGGUUGUGCAUCAUGGUUCGGAAGGCCCCCUCGGAGUUCAACGAAAGUCGAUUUAUUUCGAUGGCAAUCUACAACGAAUUCCUUCUGACGUGCUUUCUCAAUGUGUCGAUGUUAUUCCUGCAGUCACCAGCUAAUCCAGAUUUAUUGUACAUAAUAUUUUUCUGCCAUACUCAGCUAACCGUUACACUACUGCUGGGGCUGAUAUUCGGUAGCAAGGUCUAUCUCGUGUUCCGGGGAGGCGGCAAGCACCAGGACGACUCCACCGGGCUCGGCAUCAAGCCAUCUGGUGCAAAAUUCAUUAGUCGGUCCCACGGGCGCACGUUCGCUAAUGCCAGCAGCGUGACGACGUCCACCGCACAGCUGGGAGCAAAUAUAGCAAACGACAGUCGUCUAACAGACGAGGAAGCUAUCGAGGAAAUCAAACAACUGCACAUUCAGCUUCAGCACCUGUAUGAACGGAUACCGCAAAGAGGAAUAGCUAUUACUACUAUCACAUGUCUCAUAGACAUCUGCAAGAAUUCCUCGCUGAAACCUCCUCCUUCUAUUGGAGGGGUUAAAGCAAUUCUGGCCGCUCCUGCUCAGACUAGCCAAACCCAUGCGGACAAGAGCACCAACACUAUCACCCUACCGAAUGGCACCUACAACAACGAUGGAUGGACAGGAUCGGGAGUGAAUCAACCCGAUGCGAAGAUCAUGAUCACCGAUGAUUUUGAUCACACCAAUCGUUCGAUAGAUAAUAGCAAUUUCAACUUGGACAUUCUCCAAUUGAAAUGCAUGUGCAGUGAAGCGGAAGUGGAAGAAGAGAGAGAGCCAAGGUGCGAGUGUCACCACAGUGGAGGAGGACUGGGACAUUCCUGUUACAAUACCGUUAGUAGUUUUAAGCAUAGUGAUUGCUGUGAUAGUGGAAGGGCGAUGCUAGUCAAGCAAAACUCGGAACUGGUGUUGAGUAGUAGUGGCUGCUGCCCGGGAGCUGGCCAACACGGUUCCGGAAGCCAUCCAGCCAAUACUUGUAGUAGUAAGUUUAGUGAAUUGAGUGCGAAAAAUUUCGAAUCAUGUGAUAAUCUGUUGCAUCAACAGCAAAAGCAAAGACAGAAACAAAUUUCCAGUGAUAUCGUAGAUAAUCAUUCCAGUAAACGGCCAAAUUCCAGUGGUCAGUGUUUAGCGACGACCACCUCUUCUCUCAGCGUCGAUGAGAAGAACUUUAGAAACCUUAACCAAGAAAACUUCAAUAAACUUUACGCCAAUCACAACAACAAAAUAGAUAGCUUGAAGGAAAAUUUUCUGAUGCGAACGGCUCUAACCACGGCGCUUCACAAUUUGGAAAACGAGAAUCGCUCACGUAGUCAUCGACUCACCGCGGAAUCCAUGCAGUUUCCCCCGGCAGCCGGCGGUAUCCAACGGAUAUCUCCUACAUGCCCCACCAAAUCGACCGCCAUCACUUCCAACACGACGACAGCUGCCACAGUCAGUAGCAGCAGUAGCAGCAAAUUUCACAACACAUCAACGAUUUCGACACCAACUCCGUCGUGUAGUUCCUCAGCGGCGUCCGUCGUCACAACCACUGCCUCGUCUGGCGGAGGAGGUGCAGCCGUGACGGCGACCGGUUCCAUUGCAGCAACAGCAGCAAGUGGGUCCACUAACGUGGCAGACGUUUCCUCAUCGAGUACACCGACGUCGAGCACCGUCGAUGCGAACGGAACUGCCAGCCAACAAUCAAAGAAGAAAAAAUCACCGGAGAAAAGGUUGGUCAUCGAUCUGAACGACAGGUCCAAGUAUACCGAGGAGGUGUCCGUAUGAGAUUGAUAGGUCCAGUGAGUGGUUGGAGAAAGUUACAUGGCUGAAUCGGAAGCGUUGGAAGAGUCGUUUUGAAAAAUUCGGAUUAUCGAUACUUGUAACAGAUGAUAGCAUAAAUAUACAGGUUGAAAAAUGUGGAAAUGGAGAUAUUUUACAAGCGCAACUGGACAGGCCACUACAAAAUGAGCGCAACAUACACUUAUUGCAGCAGCGUGAAGGAUUCUGUGACAUCAACGAACAAACAACUAUAACCGUUAAACGAACAAAAAAACCCAGCGGCAGUAACACUUAAUUGCAGCAUUUUCCGACAUCCGCGAGCGUGAUUUUGGGCUACCACAACGAACGAAAAAAAAUUGAUUUUAUUUGUACAGUAGCGUGUAUCUUCUUUUUUUCCGGCUCAGUGGAACAUUUAGUCAAUUGAAUUUUGCUUAAGUACUUUUUUCGGUUGGUUUUGUUCGUCGGGAUGAUUGUGGUUCUGCAGAACCAAGAAAAAAAAAGUCACCGAACAAAUGGCGGUGAUGACGCUAAUGAUGACCAUGGAGCUCAUUUAAAUGAUGGGAUUGUAACGGGAAACGACGACGUUGAAGGGAGCGACCAAAUUAAAUGACCUUUUCCGUAGGGAAAAAUCCUCGAGUUGCUCGGUCUUUGGUAUUACAUUUUUUUGUCUUCUUCGAUACAUCUGCAUAUCUGAAAGGGUCCGCUGACAAUUGGGACAGGAGAAUGGGUACGGCCGAGAGAGCCCCUCGGUUGUACAAGCCGCUCUGGUUUGGUUUCAUUGUUCGAAUUCAGGCCAGCGAAAGGUUGGUGCAGCCAAUUGGUUAAAAUUAAUCGAAAUAAUUAAGGUAUGGUUUUCGGUAUCGAGCUUGUUUUUAUUUAAAUUAAUUAACAGAAUUAUCAAAAGAAUGACGCUACUUUUCAAUACCACAGGAGGAUGCGCUUUAACGAGGUUACAGGUCUACGAUAUAUUUUACGACAAUAAAUAAGCAAUCACUACACCGCCAAACCAGACCCGUGCUUUCUAUAAGUUUUUACUUUGACAAAUAAACCCUGGUGUCAGAAUGGACGUUAGCGACACGAUAGCUUGAAUAUCCAAACCAUGGGAGGAUAACCUACUCAACAGACAGGUCCAGGAAGUGUGGGAUUAGGAAACUUCUUCUACAACAAAUGUAAAAGCCAGGACUACCAUUUCCCCGACCCUCUAAACAACACUUUCAUGGCCACCAAACCGUCUCUCCGGAUCAACCAAAAAGGCUUAGCUGCGUAGCCACGAACAUCAAUGACACGCUUUGGGGAGUCCACCAAGGUAGCAUGCUGGCGCUUAGCCAGUUUUCCGAGUGGUCCUUAUCCCUCCCUUUGUCCUCGGAAGGCGGGCAGGGUCGACCAACUGUUCUGCAACGCAGCCGUUUCAGCUACCACCAGAAGGAGUUUCUCCAUCAUCCCGACCCCAAGGUGGUCGAUUUGCAAUUCUGUCUGUUUUGGUGAUCUUCAGGUGUAACGAUAAGGGAAGCUAUGUCGAAAACAUGUUCUACGUAUAUCCGUGUUAUUGGAGACCCAGUCGUAGGCCGUUUUCGUUCAUCAGCUGGUAAGCGCCGAACUUUCUAAUCGUCAGUCUGAAUUCCUCUUCCGGCCUACCUGUGCGCCUAUUUCUCCUUUGAUGAUCUUGACGUCGUGACUUAGGCGACGGUCGUACACGCGUUCGAAUUGUACACGUCGAUGGGUCUAACUAAAUUCGCGUCUCGGCAUCAUCACGACGAAAGCUUUAUCAUUUUGCGUGUUUCCGUAGCUUUAGUACACCUCCUGCGCCGGACACAAACUCCCUAACUUCCCAAAGAACCAUGGCGCACAAUAUAGCUUAGAGUUCUUCACUGACAUUCGAACGUUCAUUAGCCGCGUUCGGAGCGCUAUUGGGAGCCGCUUUUCUUGGAGAAAGUCGCUCAUGCUGCAGAAGCAAACGACCCCUCCUCCCUGUCAACCUACGACCAAAGCUCUCACCGAGAGUGGUUAACCGAUCAUUCCUAGGGUUGUUCGCGACCCGGCCAACACCCCGUGGUGGCACGAAGAGGUGGAAGUAGGAGUUACUGGCAAGAGACGAACGAUCUCAAUGGAAUCUAUAUGGGCUUCGUGGCCGUGCGGCUAGAGGCGUCAGUCAUCUAGGCGUUUCGUAAGCCUCGGAUGUAGGUUCGAUUCCCGCUCCAGUGGGGGAAAACUUUUCGUCAAACGGAAAAUUCUCCACUGGGCCACUGGGUGUUAAGUGUGUUGUCCGUUGUCAUAUGUUAGUGCUUGUUCAGUCUGUACAACCUCUGGUUGAAGAUGGUGUAGUGUCUUUUUUAAAUCACGCUCCACCCAGCCUUCACUGUUCUCUGCAUUGGGCUUGUAACUCAGCUCUGAUGCUUGAAGCAUAUUUUUGGGUUGGUUCCUGUUCGCCCCGUUGAUUUCACCAAUCUGUUAUGUAAACAUGGCAUCUUCUUCUUCUUUACUGGCUUUUAACACCA